CUGCAGCAGAUUAAGCAGACUGGGUUCCUUUCCUCAGGGCGCCCAGUGUGCAGAGGCUGCAGACAGCAGCUUCCUUGGUAGUAUAUGCUGCCUGUUUCUUGCAUGGGUUGCUCUAAGCGACCUUGGAGACAGGC
rnacentral:snoRNA from 1 species